GGUUGCGACAAGUGACGCGCUGUAUGUGCGCCAUUUGUCACGACCUAGAAAAGUGAAGUGUUCUGUGCAACGAGUACUCCUUAAUCGGGCAGCUUGACGCGCGGCAAAUAGGAUCCGCGGCGAUUUUUAUGCCUGCCAACGGCUGGAGAUGCUCUAAUCCAUCGCGAGAGGGAGGCGCCUGGUGGCGACGACGCUGGCGCGAGGUCGUGUUGGCAAAACCCCGGCUGGGCUUGGUCGUAGUGGCCGCACCCCGACGCCCCGCGGACGCCGGCGCGAGGUCCUGGGAGACGCCGGCGGCGCGCAAGGACCUGGGCGACGACGCCGGCGCGAGGUCCUGGAGGCGAACCCCUGGCUGGGCUUGGUCGUAGUGGUCGACCAAUGGAGCAAGUGCGCACAAAAAUUGAAGGUAAACCACCAUUGAAAUUUAGGAUCUCUGGAAUUUUCUGAUUACGAUGAUUACUGUCAGCUCUUGUCCUAAUGAAGUACAUCGUCCAGGAAUAGGACAACACCAAACAAUUAUUGGAUUCAGUCCUGUAGUGUAAUCUCUGAUUCUUCCCAUGUAGAUGUUGGGGAGGAUGGUCCUUCCGUUGUUGAACAAUUAUAAACUAUGUAGUGUGAUAUUCUUCCGACGUAGUGUUAUCUCUGAAUCUCUGAAUGAUGUUGGUUUAUGAUAAGAUGACAAUCUACGUUGAACAAUGAUGCUAGUCUGAAUCAACGUUUUGUAAUCUCUGAAUCUUACCAUGUAGAUACAUAGAUAUCAUUGUGCAUUCCUUCCAAUGUGCUACAAACCCAGAUUAAUUUCUUCUCUGCGCCUAAAAUUCCUUCUGCUUGAGCUGUCAAGGAAGAAGACAGAUCACAGAAUCCAUUGAAUGUUGUCCUGUUAACUUGAUAUAUUCUACUCAGGAAAAUAUUCUCUCCUGUCCAGACCUGUCACACGAAAUAGACCAUUGCUAUUAGUAAAACACAACUAGUCAUAACUCAUAAAUAAUUAGAUCGAUCUGCUAGUGUAUCGCCUCGUUGCUAUAACUCAUUCCCCUUUGCAAGUGUCUUGACCAAAUGAUGGUGUUAAUAUUUAGCUGCAGUGUACCUUUUGUUUUUCUAAAAUCUUCCCACAUAGAUGUUGUGAAGGAUGGUCCUUGCGUGCAUCGGACUGAAUUGAGAAGUAUCUUGGAUGAAAUUGGGGACCCUUUUUAGUUGGUUCUUGACGUGAAUGAAUCAAUGAAGUAGGUGUAAUGGUCAAGAUCAUAACACCAAUGUAUAAUUUGAGAUACUACUUGAUUUGCUAGCAGUUGAGUGAGAUAGCACAAUAUUCACUUAUAUAUCUUGCACGUACCAACACCUGCAUCCUCGUUUUUAUAGUAAGCAUUGAAAAUCUGUACCUUUUUGUUUAUAGGAAAUGUUGAUUUUCUCCUUUCAUUUGCAUGUGGUAUUUCUUUGUCAUUCGUGUUAUGUUGAGCUUUGUUCACAUAUUUUCCAAUCGAGUUGCCUUUGUGACAUUCCCACAUGUGGGUUUGCUAGGUUGGUGAAA